GACGAACGCUGGCGGCGUGCUUAACACAUGCAAGUCGAACGGAAAGGCCCUGCUUUUGUGGGGUGCUCGAGUGGCGAACGGGUGAGUAACACGUGAGUAACCUGCCCUUGACUUUGGGAUAACUUCAGGAAACUGGGGCUAAUACCGGAUAGGAGCUCCUGCUGCAUGGUGGGGGUUGGAAAGUUUCGGCGGUUGGGGAUGGACUCGCGGCUUAUCAGCUUGUUGGUGGGGUAGUGGCUUACCAAGGCUUUGACGGGUAGCCGGCCUGAGAGGGUGACCGGCCACAUUGGGACUGAGGGACGGAGCAGACUCCUACGGGAGGCAGCAGUGGGGAAUAUUGCACAAUGGGCGGAAGCCUGAUGCAGCAACGCCGCGAGCGGGAUGACGGCCUUCGGGUUGUAAACCGCUUUCGCCUGUGACGAAGAGUGAGUGACGGUAAUGGGUAAAGAAGCACCGGCUAACUACGUG
rnacentral:rRNA from 1 species